AUCUUCUGUUUCCUUUUACUCUGUAUGUGAGUUGGUCGAUAAUGGCUACAUCUGUGUUCCCAGAGGAAAUGUUAACCAUGCGGUAUAUAAAUGGGGAAAAUCCAUGCAGGUUAAAGGGGUGCAAAUACCGAUAUAGGGGAUUUGGAGCAAUAUGUCCAGGCUGUAAAAAGGUCUAUCAUGUUGAGUGCACAGAAAUAGGUGAUCAAGAAAUAUACGAUGGAUUGGGCAAGUACCAGCAGCUGUGGAGAUGUGAUAUGUGUGUCGAUGUGUUUUCCAAAGAGAAUAAAGCAGUGAUAAAAAAGAUUACUCAGUUGCAAUUAAAAGAAAUUUUGUCUGAACAAAGGAAGAUUACCCAGUUGCAAUUAAAAUAAAUUUUGUCUGAACAAAGGGAAAGUGGACAGCAAUUAGAGAAAUUAAAUUACGAUUUAUCCUUGUCAAUGACGAGAGUAGGAAAUAAUUUGGAUAAAAUGGUCCAGAUAAUGGAGAAAGUCACAGAAGACUAAGUUUUUGUUGACAAACCAUAUACAGUAUACAGUAAUAAUCACUUUCAUAAGCGUUUUAUGUUCCGUGAAUGAAAACUUUUAUCUUCUGGCAAAUCUCACAGUCAAUGAAGAUUGACAAGUCGUAUGCAAGGUCUUCCAAGCUGCUCUCCUCUUCAUAGUUCUACUCCAGAUGUCUUCUGUUCUUGGCCAGUACUACAUGCCUGUCCCAGUACCAGUUCCAGUGCCUCAACCAUAUGGUUAUGGGGGUUACGGGGGCUACAGUGGAGGUGGACUUCCAUAUGGUGGAUAUUCUAAUCCUAUAGGGGGGUAUUCCCGUACCAGUGUGAUUGAAAGAAGAGGAGGUAUUUUGGGUUAAAUAUCGCUUUAAACGUUACUAUGGACAAUACUUAUUUUAUUUUGGAAACUAUACACCUAUAUUUGGGAUCAUACAUUUUAUUUUAUAUUUGGGAAACUUUAUGUUAUUUUUUAACAAUUAUUCAACUUAUUAUUGUUAUAUUUCUAUAUUACACUUGAUUUGCUAUGUUAUCAUUUACAAGAUGUAUCUCGCAUUAUUGUAUUGUAAUAAACUUAUUCUAUCAUGAAA